rnacentral:tRNA from 1 species
GGAGAUGAAGCUAACUUGGUAGAAGCACUGGUCUGAAAAACCAGAGGAACAGGAUCGUAACCUGUCGUCUCCA